rnacentral:lncRNA from 1 species
CCAUCUCUUCAGCUUGAUGAUUCUUUUUUAUUUUUGUUUUUAAUUAAGCAUUAGAUAAGUUCUUUUUAGAUUUUUCUAAGGUAGAACUAGUCUUCAAAUUGCUUCUUUAAAAAAAAAUAACUUGCACAUGAAAAAACAAGAGAAAUAAAUACAGUUCCACUUGUUUUGAGAAAACCAACUUUAUUGAAAAUUCAGAAUCUAAUAGUUGUGUGUGAAUAGCUUGCCUUGUCUAGCUCUAUUACUUAUGAAAUAUAGGUGACCUGGCUGCAACAGGGAGCGAUGGAGCAUGAAAACUCAUCUUGAAGAUUUACAGAUGUUUAUACAUGAACAUUUUAAUUUAAAAUGUUGGCUUUAGCUCUUCUUGCCAAUUGGGGCUGCUUGGAGAACGUGUAAGCCCCACACAUCCUACAUCAAAAGAAAACGGCUGUGUUACUGCAACACCAGGGUAGACCAGAUCCAGGGACAUGUUCACACAGAGAAGAACCUAGUACAUCCCUCCAAGCAUGAACACAAUUAAAAAAAAAAACUGUUGCUUUUUAUUUUUAUCUUCUACCAUUCACACUACAUGUCCUCUGAAUAGUGAAAUGCUUUUUGAACUCUUAAAAGACCACAUUCAACUUUAUCACUUCUCUUACAAGGAACGAGGUUGAUCUUCAGGUUGCUGUAUUUAAGUCUCGAUUCCUGUAAUUGAAGGAAAUAAAAAUGUGUAUGCACCUUAUCUUUCAAAGGCAGGCCUCUCUUAUCAUUGGGUUUUAAAUUGUGAAGAAUACAAGAUGACUUCUGUACCUGCGGAGAAGCAAUUAGCAUAUUGUGAAUUCCCAAAUGGUAAAUGAUGGCCUAGUGCAAUAAAUAAUCUGAUCCCAAAUACAUUUUGAAUAUGUGAUUACAAUGUAUUGUCUGUGAGUUACCUCUAUGCUUUAGUUAGGAACAUCCAGUCCGCAUGGCCAAAGGGCUCAAAACGAUCCAAUGUCUAAAAGAAAAGUAAUUAUAAAUCUUGAUUUAAAAACACAUAGAAACAAUUUGCAAAACAC